rnacentral:rRNA from 1 species
UGGGGAAUAUUGCGCAAUGGGCGAAAGCCUGACGCAGCAACGCCGCGUGAGUGAUGAAGGCCUUCGGGUCGUAAAGCUCUGUCGGAGGGAACGAAUGCUCUUGAGGUUAACAGCCUCGGGAGGUGACGGUACCCUCAAAGGAAGCACCGGCUAACUCUGUGCCAGCAGCCGCGGUAAUACAGAGGGUGCAAGCGUUAAUCGGAAUUACUGGGCGUAAAGCGUGCGCAGGCGGUUGUGUAAGUCAGAUGUGAAAUCCCCGGGCUCAACCUGGGAAUUGCAUUUGAGACUGCACGGCUAGAGUGUGUCAGAGGGGGGUAGAAUUCCACGUGUAGCAGUGAAAUGCGUAGAUAUGUGGAGGAAUACCGAUGGCGAAGGCAGCCCCCUGGGAUAACACUGACGCUCAUGCACGAAAGCGUGGGGAGCAAACAGGAUUAGAUACCCAAGUAGUCCCUGAGCGGGCUGGCAAGGCGCAU